AAAGGAUGAAUCCAAAGGGAUCACAUGAUCCAAAUUCAGUAUAUACAGUUUAACCCUAAGUAAAAAAUCCAAGUUGAACUGUGAAAGCACAGAAUUGGGAUCAAUGCGAUCCCUUUGGAUGCCUCCUU
rnacentral:pre_miRNA from 1 species